rnacentral:rRNA from 1 species
ACGCUCGACACCUACGGGGCAGCAGUGAGGGAUAUUGGUCAAUGGGGGGAACCCUGAACCAGCAACGCCGCGUGAGGGAUGACGGUCUUCGGAUUGUAAACCUCUGUCCUCUGUGAAGAUAAUGACGGUAGCAGAGGAGGAAGCUCCGGCUAACUACGUGCCAGCAGCCGCGGUAAUCUGAGCGGGCUGGCAAGGC